ensembl:snRNA U6 U6 spliceosomal RNA
GUGCUCAUUCAGCAGCACAUACACUGAAAUUGGAAUGCUAAAGGGAAGGAUAGCAUGUACAAGGAAGACACUUCAGUUUUUGUUUUUUUUUUUUUUUUG